UAGGGAAUCUUCGGCAAUGGACGAAAGUCUGACCGAGCAACGCCGCGUGAGUGAAGAAGGUUUUCGGAUCGUAAAGCUCUGUUGUAAGAGAAGAACGAGUGUGAGAGUGGAAAGUUCACACUGUGACGGUAUCUUACCAGAAAGGGACGGCUAACUACGUGCCAGCAGCCGCGGUAAUACGUAGGUCCCGAGCGUUAUCCGGAUUUAUUGGGCGUAAAGCGAGCGCAGGCGGUUAGAUAAGUCUGAAGUUAAAGGCUGUGGCUUAACCAUAGUACGCUUUGGAAACUGUUUAACUUGAGUGCAGAAGGGGAGAGUGGAAUUCCAUGUGUAGCGGUGAAAUGCGUAGAUAUAUGGAGGAACACCGGUGGCGAAAGCGGCUCUCUGGCUUGUAACUGACGCUGAGGCUCGAAAGCGUGGGGAGCAAACAGGAUUAGAUACCCUGGUAGUCCACGCCGUAAACGAUGAGUGCUAGGUGUUAGACCCUUUCCGGGGUUUAGUGCCGCAGCUAACGCAUUAAGCACUCCGCCUGGGGAGUACGACCGCAAGGUUG
rnacentral:rRNA from 1 species